UGUGUACUCCCUCCGUUCCAAAAUACUUGACUUCCAUUUGUCCAAAUAUGGAUGUACCUAUAUACUAAAACAUGUCUAGAUACAUAUAUAUAUUGACAAAUAGAAGGCAUGUAUUGUGCAACGAAGGGAGUAGAAU
rfam:Triticum aestivum genome assembly, contig: Triticum_aestivum_CS42_TGACv1_scaffold_406121_5BL